rnacentral:rRNA from 1 species
CUACCUUCGAGUGGGAAGUAACGUUCGGAAACGAACGCUAAUACCGCAUAAUGCAGCGGCAUCAUAUGAUGACAGUUGUUAAAGCAUUUAUGCGCUUGAAGAGGAGCUUGCGGCAGAUUAGCUAGUUGGUAAGGUAAUGGCUUACCAAGGCAACGAUCUGUAUCCGGUCUAAGAGGACGGUCGGACACACUGACACUGAAUAGCGGGUCAG